UAAAUAAAUCACCCUCUUCUGUGGUCUAUUUUUUAUUCAGUACAAACUGAAUAUACACACAAGAAUCGAUAGAAUAAUCAAAACCAAGUAAAUUUUAUUUUUAAGUAUAAAAUUAGUCAAAUAUGGAGAAAACAGUGGCUGGUGAGGCACUGUUUCACUCUUAUAUGCGCAGAACCAUAAGCAUAGACACGAACAAUAUGAUCAUCCAGUGGAACUUCCCAGGCAUAAUUGAGCUACCUGGAUAACGAACACAAAAAUCAAGAGGCUUCAGUAUCUGAAACAUUUAUCAUCCUUACAUUUUUUUUCCACAAAUGAUGGCUUUGCUAGCUGUCUUUGUGUUGCCAUUAGAAUUCAAGAGGUCUCAAGAUUUCGAGUGCAUUAAUUAAUUUGCAAGGCCUUAAAGUCAAUUGUGUGCAAAAGGAUAUUGUUGACAUAUAAAAUGGAGUCAAUUAAUGGUGAAAGACUUAAUCAUCUAACACAAUUAGUAGAUAUUUAAAAGAAAAUUAAUGGUGAUAGUAAUAAUGUAAGUAGGGUAGAAAACAACAUUUCUAAAUUCAAACACCAUUAAUUAAUUACUUAAAUUCACAAGUUUGCCUUUUGAUAUAGGACAAAAACUAGAAGAGAAGUUGAAUGCAUAGUAUCAUCAUCAUAUGUUUACCUUAAUCAUCUACCGGAAGACAACCUUGAAUUUGAUAAAUGUUUCAUAAAUUUAAUAUCUUACCAUGACUCCCUGCAGGAGCACCACCAGCAGUAUUAUUUGUUGCCUGUGUAUUUGAAACUUUAAUCCCAAGGCUGGAACAAUCAGAUCCAAUUGUACCUAACAAUCAAAAGCCAUAGCUCAUAUCAGCUGAAAGAAAAAGGUAAUCAUAUCACUGAAUCGUUUGAGUUCGUGUCUCAGUCGUAAUCAAAUGGAUAAAACAAGACAAGGGUUGGCUCAAUUAGUAGUCUCUAAAGUUUUUACAUUCGCUGUAGCAUGGGAAGUAAGCGAUGUUGAGAAGGUUGAAGAAUCCAGAGUUGCAUGUGCACAAGUGAGUAUAUGUUCCAUUCUUUGUGCAGGUA
rnacentral:misc_RNA from 1 species